rnacentral:rRNA from 1 species
AUGCGCACCGCCGCCCCUCUGGCCAUCGCCGGCAUCCCGCUCGAGCCCGUGGACCCGAGGAAGAUGGAGUCCAUGGAUGAUGGGAAGGAGCGGCGGCUGCCUCGUGGUGACCUCGAUGCUGCUACUGCUAUAGCAUCCUAUAGUCCGGGAACCUAUAAUGUGCUCAAUAAAUCCAUGUUUAUACCUUCCAAGUUUCACUUGCAUGUUUCCCUUGUAUUUGAUGUUGUGGCUGCAGCAAUGGUUGAUGACAACAACAGCCUUGUAGCUUCAGAAGCAACUUCACAGCAAAAUUUAUAUGAGUGGUUCGUUUUGCCUUCUUUGAUUUACAAAUUGCUAAGGAGCGGAGCAUGGAGCAGGGCUCUGAGUCGUGGUGGGUUAUGUCGGAGGGCUCUGGGUUAUGGCAGGGAAGGAGCGGAGGAACUGUGCAUCCGGGGAUGGCGUGACCGCCGAUCAUAUCCGUCGCACUGGUGCUUGACAGGUCAAAUGAUCAGCAAGGCAUGUGACAGCAUCUUCAGGCCCAACUCUCACUCUGCUGUCUCCCAUUCAACGCACUCGUCGAUGCUAGGGGUGGAUGGUUCUUUGAUGUUGGCACAACUGGAGACAGCAAGAAGCAGAGGGAGGGAGGCUAUCAUGUUGAAGAAGACGCCGGCACCCUGA